CCCACGCCCCCUCCCUGCGCGUUUGUUUGUUUGGGUAGCAUAGCAGCCGGCUAGGCUCUCCGGAGCCGCUGAGAAACCUCUCAAAGGUUAGAUAUAACAUCUCCAUUGUGGAUUGUCGACUGCAGAGGACUUGUUUGUGUUGAGAGUGUUUUGGAGAAGUUGAUAAAGAGCAUGAUCGCGGAGCAAAGAUACAAGAUUGGAUAUAAACAAUCCGCGUCGUCGACGAGAGAUGGACCGGACUAUGAGCUCAGCUGCGCUCGCUUGGAUAAAGUCUUCAGCUGACAUCCAGAGGAGGACUGGAAUCUGGAGUGCAUUCAUGAGCGACCACAUUCAAAAUA